UUACUUUUUUCGUAAGAUAUAUUCAUUAAUUUGUUUAUUAUUUUAUCCUGUAGUAAUUGCAGAGUUACAAAUUUCUGUAUAAUAAUUUAUCCUAUCUGUACUGUAAUGUAUAUCUAAUUCUAGAUUUUCAAUGUUAUUUAUUAUCUUGUGUUGUUCUUCUCGUAGUGAGUUUUUUAAAUUAUAUAAACUAUCACAUGUACUUUUUUCUAAAUUUUCUAAGGUUUCUUCUAUCCAUAUUAAUUUUUCUUUUAGAUUUUUCAUUAUUUUUCUAAUUCGGUUUCUAUAAUUUAUUUCAUUAUUUAGAUUAUCUUGAUUUUCUCUAGUUUGUCUAAUAUAUUCUAACAUCUCUUAAUCUGUAUAAUAUCCUUCUGGGUAAAUUUCUUCGCAUAACUGUUCUAGAC
rnacentral:lncRNA from 1 species